ACUUUGGACCUUUUAAGGUCCAUCAGUCUUAUACAGGACAUUUACAU
rfam:Lingula anatina scaffold57, whole genome shotgun sequence.